rnacentral:misc_RNA from 1 species
CAGGUUUCGUGUGCUCCUCCUGGCUCGAUCUUGUGCUCGUCUUUUUCGCCCAUUGCAUACUCUGCUUUUUGUUGUUCGUUGGCUGGUUCUCGGGGUGCGUCUCUGUGUGUGUGUGUGUGUGUGUGUGUGUGCGUGUGUGCGUGUAUGCCCAACGUCGACACCAAGCCGCUCGCCCCUCCCCUCAUCUGCUUGCUUCGCCUCUUCUCAGCAUCUACAUUCGUCUGCUUCGCUUUAUAUAUAUAUAUAUCUAAUAUCUGUAUAUAUCUAUAUAUAUCUUGCAUCCGCGUCGCUCAGCUCAGCUCAGCUCAGCUCAUCUCCCUCUCUUUGGCGUGUUCUACGUGUAAGGCAUUCAUAUCUUCCCCCCAGCUCUUGUGUGACGUCUUGCAUCUGUACCCUACCGCCUCUUCCAAUCCUCCUGUGUGUGCUUGCGCCUCUCUCUUCUUCGUCGUCCUCCAUCUCUCACCUAUAAACUACACCCCGCCCUGCCGCUGCCGCUGCGGCCCUUCUCCUCCGCCUUCACGCCUCCCAGCAGACACGUGCGCUUACUCCGGGCCAUGUCCAGCGACUUCGAGACCCUCUCGUGCAACCUGGAGAGCAGUGAACCUCGGCGGAGACGCUGCCGCAGCAGCAGCAGCAUCGGGAGCGACUUUGACACGCUCGAUGACCUUGUCGCCGACAACGAUGCGCAGCUGCUGCGCCGGCUCGCGGUUCGCAACUCGGCUCCCGGCGCGUGUGCUCGUCGUGCGCUCUCUGGUGACCACGCCAGUGCACACUCGGGUCGGCGUGAAUCGGCCUUGUACGGCUGCCGCGCUUACGGUGUGACGGGCGGAGUCGCAGCGACUUCGCCGGCUGCACGCGGCGGUGGCUGUGGGAAGAUGCCCCUCUUCACCAAGGGCCUCACCACCUGCUGCUCCCCACCUGCCACCGUUGCACACACCAAUGUCAAGAGCAAGGAUAGCCUGGGCAACCUGGACGACGCUUUCACCGCCACGGUGGUGACCCCGCGCGCCCCAGGGGGGGGCGCCUCAUGGGCAACAGCGGCAGCGGCGCCCACGGCCACCGCCGCCCAUGCCUCUGCGUUCCGUGGCAGGGAGCCAGCGUCGCCGGUCGAGCGCCAGGUGACAUGUCCACCAGACACCAGCUCCCUCACUUCUGUCGCGAGCGCCGCGACCAUGACUGCCUCUUCUACCACGCGUCGCACGCACGACUCAGCUAACGACGUUGACAGCUCCGAGGACGAUGAAGGAGCGGAGGAGGAUCGGGCAGACCUCAAAGACGGCCACACCGUGCAGCGCCGGCGUCUAGCGCACGACGCAUCGGUAGAGGCUGUAGCCUCACGUACUCCGCAGCCUACCUCGCGCGCCCCGCCCCACCACAAUGCGCGGGACUUCGAAGGCUUCUACAACACGGGCUUGUUGCUGGAGGAUGAUGACGACGACGACGACGACGAUGAAACUGAGAGUGAGCUGAGUCGCCGUCCCGCUCGCGCGGUUGACAGCGCUGCCGCACCAUUUCCAUCCGCGGCGCUCAACGCGAGUCUUUUCUACAUGCACGGUUCAGCUGGACGACGCGGCAGCGAUGCACCUAUCAGCUUUCGGCGCUCGCAGGCAGCCACUGCAACGCCAGGCCCCCACACCGAAGGGCACAGCAAGCGCCCCGCCUCACCGGCGUCUGUCAAGGCAUCGACAGUCACCGCAGCGCGUCCUUUGUCCAUCGCAUCGCGACGCGAGGCAGCUGGCGAGCAGCUGUGUCGGUUGGCUGUGACGCUGCCCACCAUGACGACGGUGCACUGGCUCUCGCUCGUCAUCACUCUUCUCGUGCCAGUCAACCUGCUGUGCCUUGAUGUGAUGGCGCUGGGGUGGAUACGGCGGCGCGUGGACGCGAGCUACGGCGGCGCAUCUGCGUUGCCGUCAUCUGGCCGGACCACCGCACCCACCUCAUUGCGCGUGGUGAUCUGUGGUGCUGCGGGGGUCUCGACCGGCGUCGCAGAAGCUCCGUCGUCGUGCGGGAACGACUCCGGGUUCACGUUCAACGUGGGCGCCACUACCUUCACCUCCACCUCCGGCGGCGGCGGCGGCCGUGGUGGAAGCGGGAGCAGCAGCAGCAGCGGCAGCACUGCCGGCGCCGACAACCCACGAAGGGUCGACGCGAAAACGUCUUCGUUCUCGUCUGCGCACACGGUGCCUGCCCUGUGCAGCGUCAUUCUGUGGCUCCUGGCCCCCAACGGGCUUCUCUGCCGACUUGUUAUACACCGGCUCCGGCGACCCACUGGCGAAGCAGUCGCUGACGGCCAUGAGCCGGAGGGCGAGUCUGUGGUGGACCUAUCACCAUCGUUGGCAGCAACAGCAGCAGCACCGAGCACGUCAUCCCCACUGCACCGAGCAGCGGCGUCAAGCACCGAUGAGUAUCGCCACUUAAGAGCGGAGUGGCAAGUGUGUUGCGACGUCUAUGAGCGUGUGCGUCAGCUGGCACCGCAGCUGGAGGUGAUUGAGCUCUUUAUCCGGUACGCGUGUUUGUGGGUCAUGCUGCACGCCCCCCUGCCGUGUGCGACAGUGGCGAGCGAGUGGACGGGCGCGUGGCUACUCAAUUCGCCAGCGCCUGAAGAAGAGAAGGCGAUGGCGCCGAACGGCAGCCACUGGCGCGCCGCGAACAGCGUCACCGCCUCGGUAUUGCCGCGUCGUGCUGCGGACGUCAUCGCGGCUGCCUGAGUGGAGGAAGUGAGGGAGGCAAUCACACAUAGUGGGCCGUUCUCCUCAUCACGCAUUCUCAGUGCGAGGGACCGUAAGAGAGGUAACGUGUGCGCAUGUGCACGCGUAAGCGUGCACAUCCACAUGAGACAGUCUCCGAGCGAUCACUCGUGUCUUCGUCGAUGUUUUUUUUUUGUUUUUUUUGAGGGGGGUUGUUUGUUUUUCCCCCGCCUUUCUGCUUGUCGCGUUUUCGAUCUCCCUCGCCGGCCUCUCUCCCCCCUUUCCCCUUCCCCCGGCACCCCCGUUUUGGGCGUGUGGUGUGUGUCGAUGCGUAAUGUGUUUUCCUCCGAUUUCUCUUGCCGUCUCGCUGUUGCUGUCGUUCGUCAUUGCAAGCCUCGUUCUGUUUUGUCUCUCUUCACGCCGCGCCACCACCACUGCCAUCACACACACACACAUAUAUACACCGAGAGAGAGAGAGACACCUCUACCUCCUGCCUGCCGCACCAUUACCAUAACCAUCCCUCUGUGUCGGUUUGUGUGUGUGUGUCGGAAGUUUGCUCGUAGCCUCUUUUUUCUUUGCGUCGAUUUGUUUUCCAUGUCGUGUUGGCCUUCCCAUGCGCCCUCCCCUCCCCUCUCGUCCGUGAGGCACACACACACACGCAUCAACACACGUGCACACACACACACACUACAUAUAUAUAUAUAUAUAAAUAUGCACAUGCCCCCGUUACGCCUGCAUUCGCCUCUUACCCUCACUCACUCCCCUCCCCUCCCCCCCCAACACCUCUUUCUCUUGCUGCUGGGGCUGCUGCUUGAUCCCUCCGUGUAUCGUGUGUGUACAUGUGUGUGUGUGUGUGUUUGUGUGCCUGAGCGCUGAUCGUAUCUGACGGUGGUGACGACGCGACUAUC